UACGUAGGGUGCGAGCGUUGUCCGGAAUUACUGGGCGUAAAGAGUUCGUAGGCGGUUUGUCGCGUCGUCUGUGAAAACCCAAUCGCUCAACGAUGGGCCGGCAGGCGAUACGGGCAGACUUGAGUACUGCAGGGGAGACUGAAUUCCUGGUGUAGCGGUGAAAUGCGCAGAUAUCAGGAGGAACACCGGUGGCGAAGGCGGGUCUCUGGGCAGUGAACUGA
rnacentral:rRNA from 1 species